GUUCCGAGGGGAGCCCCGGCAAGGGGCUGAGAAGCCGAUAGCGUCUUAUAAAUCCCGGGCGCGGCGCGGCGACCCUACGAACCUGAUCCGGGUCAUGCCGGCGAAGGGAAAGG
rnacentral:ncRNA from 1 species